rnacentral:rRNA from 1 species
UACGUAGGGUGCGAGCGUUAAUCGGAAUUACUGGGCGUAAAGCGUGCGCAGGCGGUUCGUUAAGUCAGAUGUGAAAGCCCCGGGCUCAACCUGGGAACGGCAUUUGAAACUGGCGGGCUGGAGUGUGGCAGAGGGGGGUGGAAUUCCGGGUGUAGCGGUGGAAUGCGUAGAGAUCCGGAAGAACACCGGAGGCGAAGGCGGCUUGCUGGGCGUAGUCUGACGCUGAGGCGCGAAAGCGUGGGGAGCGAACAGG